rnacentral:rRNA from 1 species
CCUACGGGUGGCAGCAGUGGGGAAUAUUGCACAAUGGGCGAAAGCCUGAACCAGCCAAGUCGCGUGUAGGAUGAAGGAUCUCUGGUUUGUAAACUUCUUUUAUGUGGGAGUAAACUGUGGGACGUAUUCCUUUUUCUAUUUACCAUAUGAGUAAGCAUCGGCUCACUCAGUUCCAGCAGCCGCGGUAAUACGGAGGAUGCGAGCGUUAUGCGGAUUUAUUGGGUUUAACGGGUGCGUAGGCGGUUCAUUAAGUCAGAGGUGAAAGUGUGUGGCUCAACCAUAAAAUUGCAGUUGAAACUGGUUGACUUGAGGAUAGUAGAGGGAGGUGGAAUGCGAGGUGUAGCGGUGAAAUGCAUAGAGAUCACGCAGAACUCCGAUGGCGAAGGCAGCUCACUAAACUAUAACUGACACUGAAGUACGAAAGCGUGGGGAGCAAACAGGAUUAGAUACCCUAGUAGUC